rnacentral:rRNA from 1 species
CCUACGGGAGGCAGCAGUGGGGAAUAUUGCACAAUGGGGGAAACCCUGAUGCAGCGACGCCGCGUGAGUGAAGAAGCGUUUCGGCGCGUAAAGCUCUGUCAGCGGGGAAGAAACACGGUUCGCGAGAGCCGCGGACGGUACCCGACCAAGAAGCCCCGGCUAACUACGUGCCAGCCGCCGCGGUAAUACGGAGGGGGCAAGCGUUAUCCGGAUUCACUGGGGGUAAAGGGAGCGUAGACGGCGAGACAAGUCUGGAGUGAAAGGCCGGGGCCCAACCCCGGGACUGCUCUGGAAACUGCCUGGCUGGAGUACAGGAGAGGUAAGUGGAAUUCCUAGUGUAGCGGUGAAAUGCGUAGAUAUUAGGAGGAACACCAGUGGCGAAGGCGGCUUACUGGACUGUAACUGACGUUGAGACUCGAAAGCGUGGGGAGCAAACAGGAUUAGAUACCCCAGUAGUC